rnacentral:rRNA from 1 species
AACAUAGUUUUAUGAAAAAAUAUAAAAUAAUUUCUGCCCAAUGUAUUUUUAUCAAUGGCCGCAGUACCUUGACUGUGCUAAGGUAGCGUAAUCAAUUGGCUUUUAAUUGAAGUCUAGUAUGAAAGGGAUAAUGGAAUUUAGCUGUCUAAAGAUUUUUAUUAAAAUUUAUUUAUAAGGUGAAAAUACCUUUAUUUAAAAUAAAGACGAGAAGACCCUAUGAAUUUUUAAUAAAUUUUUGUUGGGGCGACAGUUUAAAAAUAAAUCUUAAGUUAAUUAAUAUAACGAAUAUAUUAAUAUAAAUAAAAUUACCUUAGGGAUAACAGCAUUAUUAUUUAAAUAGUUUGUGACCUCGAUGUUGGACUAGGAACUAUACGGCUAGCCGUCUUUAUAGAUUUGUUCUGUUCG